rnacentral:lncRNA from 1 species
UAGUAGGGUGGUUAAAUAUUUAUAAUUUGAUACCCAGCUAGCAGAGUUGUACACUAGUGCUUUGAUACUUUGCCAUUAGGGGUUAAGUUGUGGUACUUUGGUUUAGUGUAUGACCGUCAAAAUGAAUGUGAUGCUUUAAAAGAAAUCGAUUUAUGAUGAAGAUUUGAAUUUUAAUUGGAUUUGAUCUAUAUGUUUAUUGUUUGGAAAGUACUAUAUAUUUUGUAUUGAAUUUUGAAUCGACGU